UACAGAGGGUGCAAGCGUUAAUCGGAAUUACUGGGCGUAAAGCGUGCGUAGACGGUUAUGUAAGUCAGAUGUGAAAGCCCCGGGCUUAACCUGGGAAUGGCAUUUGAGACUGCAUAGCUAGGGUGCGGAAGAGGGAAGCGGAAUUUCCGGUGUAGCGGUGAAAUGCGUAGAUAUCGGGAGGAACAUCAGUGGCGAAGGCGGCCUUCUGGUCCAGUACUGACACUCAAGUGCGAAAGCGUGGGGAGCAAACAGG
rnacentral:rRNA from 1 species